GAGGGUGAUAGUCCCGUAUGCGAAAAACAAAGCUUAGCUAGCAGUAUCCUGAGUAGGGCGGGACACGAGGAAUCCUGUCUGAAUCCGGGUCGACCACGAUCCAACCCUAAAUACUAAUACCAGAUCGAUAGUGCACAAGUACCGUGAGGGAAAGGUGAAAAGAACUGAGGUGAUCAGAGUGAAAUAGAACCUGAAACCAUUUGCUUACAAUCAUUCAGAGCCCUAUGUAGCAAUACAGGGUGAUGGACUGCCUUUUGCAUAAUGAGCCUGCGAGUUGUGGUGUCUGGCAAGGUUAAGCAAACGCGAAGCCGUAGCGAAAGCGAGUCUGAAUAGGGCGCUUAGUCAGAUGCUGCAGACCCGAAACGAAGUGAUCUAUCCAUGAGCAAGUUGAAGCUAGUGUAAGAACUAGUGGAGGACUGAACCCAUAGGCGUUGAAAAGCCCCGGGAUGACUUGUGGAUAGGGGUGAAAGGCCAAUCAAACUUCGUGAUAGCUGGUUCUCUCCGAAAUAUAUUUAGGUAUAGCGUUGUGUCGUAAUAUAAGGGGGUAGAGCACUGAAUGGGCUAGGGCAUACACCAAUGUACCAAACCCUAUCAAACUCCGAAUACCUUAUAUGUAAUCACAGCAGUCAGGCGGCGAGUGAUAAAAUCCGUCGUCAAGAGGGAAACAACCCAGACUACCAGCUAAGGUCCCUAAGUCUUACUUAAGUGGAAAACGAUGUGAAGUUACUUAAACAACCAGGAGGUUGGCUUAGAAGCAGCCAUCCUUUAAAGAAAGCGUAAUAGCUCACUGGUCUAGUGAUUUUGCGCGGAAAAUAUAACGGGGCUAAAGU
rnacentral:rRNA from 1 species